rnacentral:lncRNA from 1 species
GUGCCUCAUGCACCACAUCAUGUUAAGAUGGUGCUGAUUAUAGUCGAAUAAAGUGAAUGAGUCAAAGAAUUUUUGGAGGAGCUGUUAGAGCUAAGUCUUUCAAAGUUUUCGGAAGAUCUAUAGAACUAUAAAACUUAAAAGUCCUCUUGAUUUAUUUCUGUGUCAUUACAGAAUUGUCAUUGUGCAAUCUAGAGAAGGGAUCAGAUUUCCUGAGACUUAGACAACUGGUAGAUUUUGAAAGUCUCUGUCCACUGUCAGCCCAGUAGCCCUUUUACAUUACUUUGGAGUAAUAAUUUGAUGAGAUUAAUAGCAAUGAAAAAUAUUUUGUUCCUGCCAUUAAUAUAUUAGGUACCAUGUGAAUGAAAUAUGGACCAUGACCUUUGGGAAAUUAACGUAAAAAACCCUUAGGGCCCAAAAGAUACUUUUUUGUAAUUUUAAAAUUGUACCGUGUAUAGGAAUACAGUAACCUAAAAUUAAUAUUCUAUGUUUAAUUUUAAUAAGGUACAGUGAUGAUCUAUAAAGGCUUUCUAUGACUUGCAAACCAAGAGAAGAAUUAUCUAGUACAUUGAUCACAGCACAGAUUGGGAAUUGCAAAGUAAAUAAUCUCCCUUAUACGUAAGCUGGUGACAAGAUGGAAUUUCAGUCAUCUUGGUUCUUGAUUGGACAUAGAGAUAUACAGGCCUGAUAGCACAAUGGAUGUUUUUGUUCCAGGCCACCUUUUCCUCUUUGUUUAUGGGACACUAAAUGCUUAAUUACAUGUUUAAGAGGUAAGUAAGGCAAACAAGGUUAAGUCCUUU